rnacentral:rRNA from 1 species
GUGAAUGCUGGCGGUAGGCCUAACACAUGCAAGUCGAACGGCAGCACAGUAAGAGCUUGCUCUUACGGGUGGCGAGUGGCGGACGGGUGAGGAAUACAUCGGAAUCUACUUUUUCGUGGGGGAUAACGUAGGGAAACUUACGCUAAUACCGCAUACGACCUACGGGUGAAAGCAGGGGAUCUUCGGACCUUGCGCGAUUGAAUGAGCCGAUGUCGGAUUAGCUAGUUGGCGGGGUAAAGGCCCACCAAGGCGACGAUCCGUAGCUGGUCUGAGAGGAUGAUCAGCCACACUGGAACUGAGACACGGUCCAGACUCCUACGGGAGGCAGCAGUGGGGAAUAUUGGACAAUGGGCGCAAGCCUGAUCCAGCCAUACCGCGUGGGUGAAGAAGGCCUUCGGGUUGUAAAGCCCUUUUGUUGGGAAAGAAAAGCAGCAGGUUAAUACCCCGCUGUUCUGACGGUACCCAAAGAAUAAGCACCGGCUAACUUCGUG